GUGGGGAAUAUUGCACAAUGGGGGAAACCCUGAUGCAGCAACGCCGCGUGAGUGAUGAAGGCCUUCGGGUUGUAAAGCUCUGUCUUUGGGGACGAUAAUGACGGUACCCAAGGAGGAAGCCACGGCUAACUACGUGCCAGCAGCCGCGGUAAUACGUAGGUGGCAAGCGUUGUCCGGAUUUACUGGGCGUAAAGGGAGCGUAGGCGGACUUUUAAGUGAGAUGUGAAAUACCCGGGCUUAACCUGGGUGCUGCAUUCCAAACUGGAUGUCUAGAGUGCAGGAGAGGAGAGUGGAAUUCCUAGUGUAGCGGUGAAAUGCGUAGAGAUUAGGAAGAACACCAGUGGCGAAGGCGACUCUCUGGACUGUAACUGACGCUGAGGCUCGAAAGCGUGGGGAGCAAACAGGAUUAGAAACCCCUGUAGUCC
rnacentral:rRNA from 1 species